UUUGAUAUCUUGUGAUAAUGGGUGGACGCUUGCCAUUUAUUAUUGUUAAAGCUUUCUACUUUUUCUGGUUUAUAGGUACUUUCGGAUGGAACCUCUACCUGGCCGCAAUGCACUUGUCCCACCACAACCUGGAGAAAAAGUUGUGAAUUAUCCAACUCGACCAGUGGACACAACUACAGACUUUGAAGGAACCAUUAGUCUUCAACCUUCUCAGCCAGUAUCAUCUGGAAAUACAGCAUCUGGUGGCAUGCAAGGUCCCCAUGUUAUGCCGAAUAGAUCUGUUCCCCGACCGAUGCAAAUGGUCAACAUGCAAAGGAUGCAAGCUCAGGGCAUGCCUGCUUAUAAUCUUGCUUCUCAAGCUGGUAUGGGUGCCGGAAUGAACCCAGGAAACAUGCCCAUGCAGCGUGGUGUUGCUGCUCAGCAGCAGAUGAGAAGGAAAGAUCCAGGGAUGGGAAUGCCUGGAUACCCUCCACAACAGAAAUCUAGACGGUUCUGAAAAGUCUUUUUCAGUGACAAUCAUGCACAUGCAACUCUGCGGCGAAACUAGCAGUUUAGCAGGUUGGGUUCUGGAAUAUUAUGUUUCUGAAGUUAAUUCUGAAUGUUAGGGACAAGUUUUCUCGCUAUUUAUGAAGCUGAAGAGGGUUGACUAGCACGGCACUAUUAUGUCCGAUUGCGGAUGGGACUCUCUUAUCUUAUUGACAUUGUGGAUCAGAUAUUGCUUCAUAUCAGCAGUCACUAACGAGAUCAUUGAUGGUCAGCUCUGCCAUGAGCCACCUAUCUCUAUAUGGACUGGAUACUCUAUGUAUAAAGUUUGUAUACAUAUAAUAUGUACACCAACCAAUUAUCAAUGUAUCAGACAUGCCAACCAAUUAUCAAUGUAUCAGCAUGCCAUCUUAUUUGUCUUUA